GUCCUAGCCUUAAACGAUGCAUACUAGAUGUAGGUGGGCUCAACCCUAUCUGUAUCGGAGCUAACGCGUUAAGUAUGCCGCCUGGGGAGUACGCUCGCAAGGGUGAAACUCAAAAGAAUUGACGGGGGCCCGCACAAGCAGUGGAGCAUGUGGUUUAAUUCGAUGCAACGCGAAGAACCUUACCCAGGCUCGAAAUGUAGAGUACGUCGACAGAGAUGUCGAUUCCCGAAAGGGAUUCUAUAUAGGUGCUGCAUGGCUGUCGU
rnacentral:rRNA from 1 species